UACGUAGGGCGCAAGCGUUAUCCGGAAUUAUUGGGCGUAAAGAGCUCGUAGGCGGUUUGUCGCGUCUGCCGUGAAAGUCCGGGGCUUAACUCCGGAUCUGCGGUGGGUACGGGCAGACUAGAGUGAUGUAGGGGAGACUGGAAUUCCUGGUGUAGCGGUGAAAUGCGCAGAUAUCAGGAGGAACACCGAUGGCGAAGGCAGGUCUCUGGGCAUUAACUGACGCUGAGGAGCGAAAGCGUGGGGAGCGAACAGG
rnacentral:rRNA from 1 species